rnacentral:tRNA from 1 species
GCCUGGAUGGCUCAGUCGGUUAAGUGUCCGACUUCAGCUCGGGUCAUGAUCUCACAGUUUGUGAGUUCGAGCCCCGCAUCAGGCU